AGUGAACGCUGGCGGUAGGCCUAACACAUGCAAGUCGAACGGCAGCACAGUAAGAGCUUGCUCUUACGGGUGGCGAGUGGCGGACGGGUGAGGAAUACAUCGGAAUCUACUUUUUCGUGGGGGAUAACGUAGGGAAACUUACGCUAAUACCGCAUACGACCUACGGGUGAAAGCAGGGGAUCUUCGGACCUUGCGCGAUUGAAUGAGCCGAUGUGGGAUUAGCUAGUUGGCGGGGUAAAGGCCCACCAAGGCGGCGAUCCGUGGCUGGUCUGAGAGGAGGGUCGGCGACACGGGAACUGGGACACGGUCCAGACGCCUACGGGAGGCAGCAGUGGGGAAUAUUGGACAGUGGGGGCAAGCAUGAUCCAGCCAUACCGCGUGGGUGAAGAAGGCCUUCGGGUUGGAAAGCCCGUUCGUUGGGAAAGAAAAGCAGCAGGUUAAGACCCCGCGGUUCUGACGGUACCCAAAGAAUAAGCACCGGCUAACUUCGUG
rnacentral:rRNA from 1 species